rnacentral:rRNA from 1 species
AUUGAACGCUGGCGGAAUGCUUUACACAUGCAAGUCGAACGGCAGCACGGACUUCGGUCUGGUGGCGAGUGGCGAACGGGUGAGUAAUGUAUCGGAACGUGCCCAGUCGUGGGGGAUAACGUAGUGAAAAUUACGCUAAUACCGCAUACGAUCUAUGGAUGAAAGCGGGGGACCGUAAGGCCUCGCGCGAUUGGAGCGGCCGAUAUCAGAUUAGGUAGUUGGUGGGGUAAAGGCUCACCAAGCCGACGAUCUGUAGCUGGUCUGAGAGGACGACAGGCCACACUGGAACUGAGACACGCUCCAGACGCCUACGGGAGGCAGCAGUGGGGAAUUUUGGACAAUGGGCGCAAGCCUGAUCCAGCCAUUCCGCGUGCAGGAUGAAGGCCCUCGGGUUGUAAACUGCUUUUGUACGGAACGAAAAGGCUCUGGUUAAUACCUGGGGCUCAUGACGGUACCGUAAGAAUAAGCACCGGCUAACUACGUGCCAGCCGCCGCAGUAA